rnacentral:rRNA from 1 species
GACGAACGCUGGCGGCGUGCUUAACACAUGCAAGUCGAACGGAAAGGCCCUGCUUUUGUGGGGUGCUCGAGUGGCGAACGGGUGAGUAACACGUGAGUAACCUGCCCUUGUCUUUGGGAUAACUUCAGGAAACUGGGGCUAAUACCGGAUAGGAGCUCCUGCUGCAUGGUGGGGGUUGGAUAGUUUCGGCGGUUGGGGAUGGACUCGCGGCUUAUCAGCUUGUUGGUGGGGUAGUGGCUUACCAAGGCUUUGACGGGUAGCCGGCCUGAGAGGGUGACCGGCCACAUUGGGACUGAGAUACGGCCCAGACUCCUACGGGAGGCAGCAGUGGGGAAUAUUGCACAAUGGGCGGAAGCCUGAUGCAGCAACGCCGCGUGCGGGAUGACGGCCUGCGGGUUGUAAACCGCUUUCGCCUGUGACGAAGCGUGAGUGACGGUAAUGGGUAAAGAAGCACCGGCUAACUACGUG